rnacentral:rRNA from 1 species
UAAGAGACGUAAUUGGAAUGUGAUGUGUAGCGGUGAAAUGCUUAGAUAUAUCACAGAACGCCGAUCGUGAAGACAGAUUACGAACUUAAUACUGACGCUCAUGCACGAAAGCGUGGGGAUCAAACAGGAUUAGAUACCCUAGUAGUCCACACGGUAAACGAUGAAUGCUAGGUGUAGGGGGUAUCGACCCCUUCUGUGCCGGAGUAAACACAAUAAGCAUUCCGCCUGGGGAGUACGGUCGCAAGAUUAAAACUC